rnacentral:lncRNA from 1 species
GUCAGGACGUCAGGAAUAAGCUGCUUCUGAGAGAGGGUGAUGUCUUCACCACAGCAGAUCCCCCAGGAGAAGUCAUCCUUGUCCAGCGGACACGCGGAGGCGCUGUGCUCAUGCUGGGAUGCAGACCAAACCCCACCGCCUCCAGGAGGAACCAUUCCUGUCCCCGGGCCAGCUGGCAGGAGCCAGGAGAUGAGGUUCUCCAGGGUGAAAUCCAGAGGGGUCUCACAGAGGAGGUGUGUCUGAGCCUCAAAGGUG